AUUUAAAGGUGCGAACUCAAGAUGCUUUGGGUUGCCCUUAUCAUGAUAACUGCAGCCCAGCUGGUCACCGUACUGGGUGAAACCAUUAUUGUCCAAACGGGCGCGGAAGAUACUUCGAACAUAGUGAUCCCUUCAUCAAGUUCUGGAUCUACUGUUGUCAUCAAAAAAGACCCACCACCAAAAGUGUACGUGAUUAACGAAGAGCCCUCUUCUGUGGUCGUGCGAGUCAGAUGAUCGACAUGCCGCCUUGUUAAGGUGAUUGUAGUACAACGUCAAACAAAUUGUGCUGCUGCGAAUGCCACACUUGAGAAGGGGAACUCGUAAACAAGUGCUGUAUUGAAUUUUUUUUUGUAAAAUGAAUUAAAAAUAGUGUGAACUCUCACACAUUGCUUCA